rnacentral:rRNA from 1 species
UACGGAAGGCAGCAGUGGGGAAUAUUGCACAAUGGGCGCAAGCCUGAUGCAGCCAUGCCGCGUGUAUGAAGAAGGCCUUCGGGUUGUAAAGUACUUUCAGCGGGGAGGAAGGCGGUGAAGUUAAUAGCUUCACCGAUUGACGUUACCCGCAGAAGAAGCACCGGCUAACUCCGUGCCAGCAGCCGCGGUAAUACGGAGGGUGCAAGCGUUAAUCGGAAUUACUGGGCGUAAAGCGCACGCAGGCGGUCUGUCAAGUCGGAUGUGAAAUCCCCGGGCUUAACCUGGGAACUGCAUUCGAAACUGGCAGGCUAGAGUCUUGUAGAGGGGGUAGAAUUCCAGGUGUAGCGGUGAAAUGCGUAGAGAUCUGGAGGAAUACCGGUGGCGAAGGCGGCCCCUGGGACAAAGACUGACGCUCAGGGUGCGAAAGCGUGGGGAGCGAAACAGGGAUUAGGAU